AAUCAAACCAGGAGUGAAUAUAGCAAAUGAAAGGGUCGAAACAAUUAUAGAUGAAAUUAAUUGGAUGAGGGUGAGAAAGAGAUGAGAUCAGUUGUAUUAAUUUAGGUCAUGUGAAGAGGUUUCAGGUAUGAUUUUGGUAAUCAAGAAUUACGCAUCUUAAUCUUCACCUAUAAAUCCGUGUACCAUAAUCCUUCAUACCGCUUCAAGCUUUUGAAGAUUUCUCAAAACGUUGAGCAAGUAUCAAUGGUGGAUUAUCUCUUUGGGUGAAAUUAUAAGUAAAAUUAAGAUGUCUUUCAUAUUUUAUAAUAUGUGUCUUUUUUCUGGAUUGCUAGCAAUGUUCUUGCAGGUCUCCUAGGGUUUCAAUUGGCAUGGAAGGUAAGUUUAAUACAAGAAAUCGAUUUGGGGUUUGCUUUUUUCUGUAAGUUGACGUGAUUACAUAUGUUGGUUUGGGUUGCAUGAUUGAUAAUUCAUCAAUAGAAUGUAUGAUAUUGGAUUUGGGAUUUUUUUUUUAAUUUUAUUGACUUGAGUGGCUUAAAUUAGGAUUAAUUGUCUUGGUAAUGCUAAAUUAAAGUAAUCUAUGGGACAAAACUAUAAUGCACCUUCCAGAUGUUAUACGAUUCGUACAAGUAAGUAACAUUACACAUACACUUUUUGAUUUGGGUUUAACAUUUUUUCUGACUACUUUUUUUAUUUUGCAACCUCAAGGAGGUAUGAUCCUCUGCAUAAUGGACAUGCUAUUAUAGAUGAACUGGAUGCGCUCCUAAAAGUGAUUCUUUAAUCCAUAUAUAUCAUAGAUUGUAUGUCAUGGUCUAAAUCCAUCUUUUUAAUCAUGUUUAAAAAUGUCAUGAUUAUGACUUGCAAAAUGGGUGGGUUGUAUCGGGUUGUACAUGUAAUGUGUCAAAAGAUACUGGUCAGGUUGGGUGGUGAGUUGUGUAAGGGUUCAAUUUGAGUUCAAAAUGGGCGGCUUUUAAAAAAUUGUCAAUUGGGUUCGGGUCAAAACGGGUUGGGUCACAGAGGGUUCGUGUGCUAUAUGUACAUAUGAUCAGACCUAUGCUUUUUUGAUUUGUAUCAUUUUGUGUCUUAAAAGUUUUUCAUUGUGGAAUGUGAUGGACCUAUUUUCGUUUGUUUAAUUGUUGCUCUUAUGGUUUUCUGUGAAUCAUCUUCAACAUGGUGGUUUGUUUUGGGGUUUAAAUCAAAAUUUAGAUCUUUUGAAUAAAUUAAUAGGCGUUUUUUUUUUUCUUUUUGAGAGCUGACAUAAGAAUAUACUGAUGCUACAAUUUUUUGUAGAGUAUCUCUUUGUGACGAGGAGAAACAAAGGAAGAAAAAAAAAGAAAGAAAGAAACGGUAAUUACGUGUUAUUUUUUUACUUUCUUAUUGUUUAUGUGUGUCUUUCUUACUACCUUUUUUACUUUCUCAUUUGGAUGUGAUGCCGGGAAGCACCAACAAGCGUUCGAGCUUGCCGGAGGAUUCGCUCCGUUGAAGUGCUUUGAUGAUUUUAAAAGAACCGGCUUACUUGUGAUACUGGUUCAGAGGAUAAAUGGGUCUGGGGUAACGAGGAUGGAGUUGAUUUUUCGGCUAAGAGUAUCCGGGUCAAAUUGGCUGUGGCCGCUGGGAGAGAUACAGAUCUGCAGAGGUUUCAUUGGAAUAGCUGGGUGAUGCCAAAAGUGAAUUAUUUAAUCUGGAGGGCUAUCCUAGGGGGCGUUGAUACAAAGGACGCUUUGGUGCGAAGAGGCGUGAAUUUAGGUAACACACUUUGUUGCAGGUGUGGCCUAGAAAACGAAGACGUGAAGCAUGUUUUUGUUGGAUGUCUUGCAGCCAGGAGCGUGUGGUGGCAAAUAAGUAUGGUCAACCCUCCCUUUGACGGCGAUUCAGUCGUGGAAAGAGUGGACUACUUCAACAACCAACCGGGAGCGAAGACCUGGAAGAAGGUGAGUUUGAGAGGCCACCACCCGAGCCUCAGCUUAGACGGGUUGAACUUAAAACGACAGCUUGAAGGUAAACUUUUAGGUCCUGUCAAAAUGGGUCAGUUUGACCUGUCACCAUUUUCUUUAAAUUUUAUUAAAAUAAUAAACUAAAUCUUGGUGGCUGCUAUAUGGAGACUUCAUGGGAUCACUAAGUCGGUAUAACUAACAUGCAGAAGAAGAUUUUAGAAUAUCAUGAAGGCUACAAGGUAACCCAUACUUUAUAAAUCAUCGUUUUGUGUAUAGUUUACUUACAGAAACUGUGCCAGUGCUUUUCUUCAAGCUACAUAUAUCUAUACUAAGGGUUCCGUGAUAUAAGGAAUGUCUCCGUUAUUUUUUCUGUCAACUUCAAUUAAAAUGAUAAAAGUGCCCUUUAAAAAUAAAAAAAAAAAACCACAGGGUCUUUUAAUGUGUUUACUUAAACUUAUUCCGCUUCGGGUAAUUUUGUAUGGUUAGGUCUUUUAACUGUUUAAAAACUGUCUAUUUUGUUUGGUCUAUUUUGUUUGUGUAGAUGUUAGCUUGGGGUUGAAGUGCAAAUUACAACAUAUAGGUCGCAUCACUUUUAUAAUGUAAUUUGUUUUAAUUAAUUUGGGAGCUCAUAAAUCUUUUUUUACCGCUAUCAACUAUAUUAAUAGUCUAUUGGGUUCUUUAUUUUAAACUUUUAAAUAUAUUUAUUUUAGUUCAUUACGUUUUUGUGAUCACCGUUUAACAUUGUUAACCUUAGGUUUUUUGUUACAAAAUGGAUGAUGUGCUUGAAAAUAUAGCUGAUUGUUGUCUAUAUAAUAUGCAUGCUCACAUUAUAUACAUGUGCUAACUAAGUUUGAGCCGCGGCAACCUCCUAUAACAUUUUCCCUUCACAGACCACCCGAUGCGUAUCGUGUUUCUGUUUCAUAUUGUCUACUCCGCCGUAACGCGCGAGUUUCCCACUAGUACUAUAUAUAAGCAUUUCCUAUGGCUAGAAUUGUCAUUUCUAUACAAAUUUUUAAGAUGGCAUACAAAGAGUCAAUAUAAAAUGCAUAAAUUUUUACCAUUUUCUUCCGUUACUACCCCUCUUCCCUUUUAUCUAUACUAUACUCGUUGAAUACCUACACUAAAUUCGGGAUCUGCUUAGCCAUCAAUCAAUGUGACUCUUCAAAGGCAGCAAUCAAUGUAACUCUUCAAAAGGCAAAUGGUUUUCACCAUCUCUAAUCGUCUCUUUCACUUUCCCCACACAUCCGAAACUCACCACAAUCAACCAUUACCAUUUCCUCUCCAAUGAAUCGGCAAGUGAAGCUUAAAAGUUAUUGAAUCGGCCAGUAAUCUUCUUUGAUAAAGGCUUCAAUCCCUCAUAUCCCAUAUUAACGAUGAGAGAGAGAAACGUCAGAGAAGAAAAUUGGGGAAAAUCGGCGAGGAUAAAAGGAAUCACCAGCGACUAUUCUGACCACUAGGUUGUACCGGUGGAGAGCCUAGGUUGAGGCGAAUCACCGGCAACGAUUUCAGCACUAGAUGAUGUUGCUGCUUUGCUGAAGAACUCAUCUUUGGAUUCUCAAAGGAUUUCUGAUUGAAACUCAAGAUGGGUUCUGAUUUUUAUGUGAAGUGGUUCCUCAAUGUUCAAGUCAACUUAUGAGCCGAAUUCUGAGUAUCUUGAUGAUGACGAUAGUAGCUUUGAAGGUGACGGGGAAGAAACUACAGGUAAGGUCCCAAAUCUUGAAACAGGAGCUGAAAAUAGUGUUGACAUAGAGUGUAAACAAUCACUCAAUAUUGAAGAUUACGGCCCGUUUCUUCCUUGCGCUUAGAAAAUGGUACCCGGAUCUCCAACCGAGAGGGAGUUUCGAGUCUUCAUACGCAACAACGUCUUAGUUGGAAUCUCCCAACGGGAAGUCAACACGUUUUACUCGAUUCUGACCGAGAAGAAGCAUGAUAUGGAAAAGGUGAUAGACGAGUUUUAUAUGGACAAGGUGAGCAUGGGAUUUGAGUCGGAAAGUUACACGCUUGAUGUUUAUGUUCGAAAGGAUAUGAAAGUCAAGCUUUUGGAUUUCAAUCUGUGGUGUGAGGUUAAGUUGCCAUUGCUGUUCACAUGGGCGGAACUGGAAUCGGCGCAGUUGAUGAGGGAACCAGAGUUUAGGAUUGUGGAGAGCCGAUUUGGGGUGAGACCGGGGUUGAAAACUGCGGUUCCGUAUGGUUAUCUGGAUACAAGUGAAGGGAGUGGUUGGGAUCGGCUGUUUAGAAAUGCUGAUGAAGAGUUGCGGCGCCAGACAAGGUCAGCCGGUGGUUGUUAACAGAAUAACAGUUAUGUUUGCUGGGAGAAGUCUGUAAAAGAAAUGGUAGAUGAAGCUCUACGACAUGUUCCUAACCAUGAUGGUGACAAAUUGACCAGGUCAACCAAAUUCGGGACUCUCUAGCUAUCAUGGGCGACAAUAGCACAGCUUUCAGCUUACCACAACUAUGGUCCUUUUAAUCAUUAAAAAAUAUACCAUUUUAAUAAUAAUAAUAAUAAUAAUAAUAAUAAUAAUAAUAAUAAUAAUAAUUAACGUCAGUUAUAUUAUUAUAAAAUAUAUACCAUUUUGUUAAUAAUCUUAUGUUUUGAAUGAAAUGAUAUUUGGUGGUUAAUGCAUAAAAAUAACACUCUGGGAAACCUUCAACCCCGUUUGAGCAUUUUCUUGUUAUGUUACUUGUUUGACCCGUUAGCGAUAGAGCUUAACCCAAAUUGAUGUCUGAAGCUAUACGAGGAUAGCAUGACGAAAGUGAUUUUACCGAUUCACGAGGAAUCUUUACAAUGCAUCCAUGAAGCUUCAAGAGCCGAAUCUCUGAAAUCUUUUGACGAACAACAUUUUGGCCGUCACCAUGCCAAGAAAUCUGUUGAAACACUCGAUGAAGAUAUCGAAAAGAUGUUUAAGAAUUUUAUGAUGGCAAACCAAUAUCAGUCGUCAAAACUGUGUGAGGCACUGCAUACAAAGUGCGAGGACCAAAUGGACCAACUUCAAGUACUCAGACUACCGUCCAUGGCCAAGUUUAACGCAGGCUUCCUUCAAUGCAACCAAAGUUUUGGAAAAGAGUGCGUUGGGCCAUCUAAAACCAUAUAUGAGCAACGAAUGGUGAAGAUGAUGGGAAAGUCGAAGUCAUCGUUUAUAAAGGAAUACAAUCACAGGCUAUUUAAUUGGUUGGUGGCCUUUUCACUUGUAAUGGUGAUCGUGGGUCGUUUUAUCAUAAAGUUCGAGUCAACCCCAACACGACUCGUUUAACCUUGCAAAAGAAUGAUAAAAUUUUUAUGUAUAACUUGCUGCUUAAAUUUGAUUCACUAAUCUGUUAAAUUCGUGACAUUACAUCUUACUUGAGUAGGUUUUAUGCUUUAAUAUCCUAUUUAUGUUAAAUUUUAGGAAAUUGACAUUUUGUUUUAGGAGUGAACUAUGCAACAUUUUGCUGGUAAUUCUGUUGCUAUUUUGAUAUUUUUUCAAUGUUUACUAAGUAAUUAAUUUAAUAAAUUUGUUGAUUUGUGCAACAGAAAGCAAACAUAGAUUAUUAAAACUUUUGUAUAUUGGUUUCGCCUUAGUAUAUUCUAUUACAUAAUAGUUAAUCCAUAAGACCAUAAAACCAUCUAAUCUUUCUGUUGUCUUAGAAUAUGCAAAGAGAGAUAAUUUUUUUGCUGAUGACUUAGGUUUGUAGAUUUGUAACUUUUGAGUAUUAAUAAGCAAAAACGAAUAAAAAUAAAAUUUCUUUUGGGUCAAACGGGUCUCGUUUGGGUAAAAAAAAUAUGAAAAACUUUGACUUGAUUAUCAUCGAAGGCAUAUACCCGUUACAAAAACUAUGAUCCCGCCGCAACGCGCGGGUUACCUACUAGUACCAUAUAAAGCGUCUUCUAUGUACACAAAAGUAAUUUUCUUUGUAAUUUUAAGAUGGCAGAGCAAGAGCCAUGACUUGUUCCCUAAUUUUUUAUCCCUUUCUCCCAAUUUUGCCCCCAGUUCAAUGUAUGUUUCUCAUUGUCGUUCGUGAAUGUAUAAAUUGAUAAGACGAAGUUGAUCUUCGCAUUUAAUUGGAAGAACCCUAUAACCCUUCAGUUUCCCCCUUCACUUCUGUUGCAAUUGAAUCAUAUUGAGUGAGAUUAAUUUCCUACAUUGAAUUGAUCUUUCCAUCGCCCUCCUCAAAUACAAGUUACUUAAUGCUAAUUUUUGUUCCUAAUUGAAUGUUGCAAUUGAAGGGUCGUGGGUUUGUAUCCCACCCACUGAAUUUUAGGGACCAUCAGUUUGGAAUUUUUGGUUUAUUAAUCGUAGUGAAGCCCCGAUAUCGACUGUCGAUGAGCACAGGAAACAGAAUGACGGUGGUGAGAAGAAAACAGUGCCACUAUCUUUCUCUUCAGCAUCGCUUUGGAAUAGUUUGGCCAAAACUUGAUAAUCAAGUUAAUGAAAGUGGUUGAUGUUUCUAAAUGGAAUAACCAAGUCAAGAAGCAAUAUUAAAAAGCUGGCAAUUAUACAUUAACCUUCUCUAUUUAAUCAUGUUCUGUUCUUCGAAGCUCUGGAAAUAUUGGUCAAGAUCAACUGCCCAAAUGCUACUCAGAGUUCUCAUUAAUGAUUGCAGCCCAUCUAUAUCAAUAGAUAGUAUCAGGCCUAAUAAAUGAGGCACCAAAGUUGAAUGCGGCACUAGAAAAGAAUGAAGAAGGGGAGGCGUCAAACACAACCCAAGGAGAAGGUGAAGAAGAAGAGAAAACCGAGGGUGCAGCGGCAGCGGCUCCUCGUAGAAUGACAAGACGCAACAUCUAACGAGAGAUGCAUUGUUGAAGAAUGUAUAGUUGGUAGCAGUUUAGUUGGUAUUUUAAGGAUGUUUUGAGGUACUCAGUAGAGUUUUCGACCAGUCAGAAACCGCAAAUGCUCCACUUGGUUGGCCAUAAUUUGGUUGUUUUGCCUCAGUUUGUUUUGUCUCCUUUGUAACUUGGCAAGGGUUUGAUCCGUAUAGGGAUUGUCGGAUACAACUGGUGCAGGCAACAAAGAUUAUGGGAAUCAUAAAGGCGGAUUAUUUUCUCUGGAUCAAAACAAGGGCGGGAUACGCAGAUCUGGAAUGGGAUAAAUGGAGAAGUUUUAAUUUCAGCAACUUCCCGAUAAUAUUGGGUUUGUGCAGAAGAAAAGGGAUGAUGUGGCAUUUUCACCAAAAGACCAUGAGUCUGUUGAUCAAUUUUUCCAGUUUGAAAAAGGCACUUUGAAUACUCCAUUUACACAAUAUUGUAAAAGUAUUAUAGAAAAUGUUGCUUCAAACAACACCACAUUUGAUGUGGCAUUUACACGAAGUCUUAGAAUUUUUGUAAUCGGAAUUGGACAUUUUGGUUUCACUUAAGAAUUUUUUUAUAGUAAUUCUUAUGUAUA